rnacentral:rRNA from 1 species
AAACUGGUGCGAAGACGCCGGUUGGAGGAUGACUCGGCUUGAUAAGUGAGGAAGGACGUGGCAAGCUGCGAUAAGCUUGGGGUAGGUGCAUGCGACCAUAGAUCCCAAGAUUUCCGAAUGAGAUCUCUCUAUACACUCCCUUGCUUACGCUUGGGAGGACGAACUGUCCGAAGUGAAGCAUCUGAGUAGGACGAGGAAGAGAAAUCAAUUGAGAUUCCGCUAGUAGCGGCGAGCGAAAACGGAUGAGCCCAAACUGAAUCUGUUACGGCAACGUAAUAGAGAUGUGGUGUGUUAUAGCGUAUAGGAUGCUGUUUUCAGAACUGAAGUGCUCUGGAAUGUGCUGGCAAAGAGGGUGAUACCCCCGUAAGUGAAUGAAAAUGGGAUUCUGCUAUAACAAGAGUAACUGGCCUUGACAGUGGCCAGUGAUGAUGGGUGAAAGUAGCAUCCAAGGCUAAAUAUUCAUCAAGACCGAUAGAACACUAGUACCGUGAGGGAAAGUUGAAAAGUACCCCGGAAGGGGGGUAAAAAGUGCCUGAAACCAACCGGUUACAGACGUGUAUGGCUCGAAAGGAAUAGGUAGAGGUCCCGAAAGGGGCUUAAGCCUUCUAGAGUUAUACGUUCCGUCUAGAAACACGGGCCAGGGAGAUUGCUGUUAUGGCGAGCCUAACCUAAUAAAAAGGGGAGGCGAAGGGAAACCGAAUUCGCGCAGCUUUGGCGAGGCGAAGGAUCUGAAAGGGUCUUAGUCAUGGCAGUAAGGCUAGAAACCGGACGAUCUAGUCCUGGAUAAGACGAAGGUGGGCGAAAGCCCACUGGAGGUCUGCAAGGGUCCUGACGUGCAAAUCGGUCCCCUGAUCUGGGAUUAGGGGUCAAAAACCAAUCUAGUCCGGUGAUCGCUAGUUCCCACCGAAGUGGAUCGCAGUCCUGCCUUAGUGGAGAUGGCUUGUUCUGUAGAGCACCGAUCGAACGGUAAGGGUCCGAAAGGGCUCGCUGUUCAUUCGAACUCCGAAUGCACAAGCGUCGUAGAAACUAGGAGGCGGGUUUAUGUGGGGUAAGCCUCAUAACCGAAAGGGGGACAACCCAGACUAAAGUUAAGGUCCCCAAAUGUCUACUAAGUGUCAAACAAAAGGGCGUUUUCGAGCAGAGACAGCAGGGAGGUAGGCUCAGAAGCAGCCAUCCUUCAAAGAGUGCGUAACAGCUCACCUGCCGAGCUCGGAAGCCCCGAAAAUGGACGGGGCUCAAGUAGACUACCGAUACUUUAGACCACCGGUAAUGCCGGUGCGUGGUAGGUGGGCGUAGUGAUUGGGUAGAAGCUGGGCUGUGAAGUCCAGUGGACUGAUCUAACUAUUGCAGAUCCUGGCGGCAGUAACAGCAUAGCCGGGUGAGAAUCUCGGCGACCGCAAGGGCAAGGGUUUCCCGGCAAUGCGUCGUCAGCCGGGAGUUAGCCGGUCCUAAGAACAACCUCAACAGAGUUGUCCGAAUGGGAAACUGGUUAAUAUUCCAGUGCCUUGAAAGAUCGUUAAUACCUGACCUGUCGCUUCCGGAUAAGGCGAGCAGAACCGUCGUUCUGUCUAAGUAUUCGAGUCGUAGGGAGUGCCGUAAUGGCGAGAACUAGGACGAGGUAUAAAUGGUCCUCCGCAAGGAGGAUUCGCUUAAAUCCAGGAGACAAUGAAAGCAGGGACAGGAAGAUUCUUUCAAGACCGUACCGAGAUCCGACACUGGUGCCCUGGAUUAGCAGUCUAAGGUCUGUCGGGCAUACCGUAAGGCGAGGGAACUCGGCAAAAUAGCUCCGUAUCUAUGGUAUAAGGAGUGCCUGCAGCUUUUGCGAGGAGCAGGAGUUGCAGGUCGCAGUGACAAGGGGGUCCCGACUGUUUAAUAAAAACACAGGUGGUCGCUAGUCCGAAAGGAUGAGUAUGGCCUCUGUAUCCUGGCCAGUGGCGGUACCUAAAACCUGGGUUCAACUGGGCUAAGGGCCGCUAAACGCCGGGAGUAACUCUGACUCUCUUAAGGUAGCCAAAUGCCUUGUCGGGUAAGUUCCGACGUGCAUGAAUGGAACAACGAGGGCCCCGCUGUCCCCGCCUGCAGCCCGGUGAAGCCACAUAAUGUGGACGAACAGUCCACAAACCUCUGUCGGGGAGAGAAGACCCUGUGGAGCUUUACUGCAGCCUGUCGUUGCGAUAUGGUUGCGAAUGCAGAGUGUAGCUGGGAGCCUUCGAAGUCAAUCCUCCGGGGUUGAUGGAGGCGCCAUUGUAACACCAGCCAUUUGUUACUGUAUCGCUAACCUGUUCUUACGGGGACAUUGGCAGGUGGGCAGUUCGGCUGGGGCGGCACCCCCUUGAAAAUGUAUCGAGGGGGCCCAAAGAUUGGCUCAGGCGGGACAGAACUCCGCCGGUGAGGGCAAAGCCAAAAGCCAGUCUGACUGGAUUUCCAAUGAUACGAAAUUCAGAGGCGAAAGCCGGGCUUAGCGAUCCAUCAUGUCCCCACUAUUGGGGGCUGGUGGUGACAGAAAAGUUACCCUAGGGAUAACAGGCUCGUCGCGGGCGAGAGCUCCUAUCGACCCCGCGGUUUGGUACCUCGAUGUCGGCUCUUCCCAUCCUGGUUCUGUAGCAGGAGCCAAGGGUGGGGCUGCUCGCCCAUUAAAGGGGAACGUGAGCUGGGUUUAGACCGUCGUGAGACAGGUCGGUCUCUGCCUGACAGGGGCGUGGUUGUCUGAGGGGAAGUUGCCCCUAGUACGAGAGGAACAGGGCAGCGCAGCCUCUGGUUUAUCAGCUGUCCGACAGGGCACGCUGAGCAGCUAAGCUGCUUAGGAUAACUCCUGAAAGCAUCUAAGGAGGAAGCCUUUCCCGAGAAAAGACAGCCUUCCGUAAGGAGGAGGGCGGCUAUAGAAGAUGGCGUUGAUGGGAUGGAGGUGUAAGCAUCAAGCUAUGGCGAGGUGUUCAGCCUGCCAUUCCCAAUAGCCCAAGGCACCUGAAA